rnacentral:rRNA from 1 species
UACGGGGGGGGUAAGCGUUGUUCGGAAUUACUGGGCGUAAAGGGCUCGUAGGCGGCCAACUAAGUCAGACGUGAAAUCCCUCAGCUUAACUGGGGAACUGCGUCUGAUACUGGAUGGCUUGGAUCCGGGAGAGGGAUGCGGAAUUCCAGGUGUAGCGGUGAAAUGCGUAGAUAUCGAGAGGAACACCUGCGGCGAAGGCGGGUUGCUGGGCUGACACUGACGCUGAUGCGCGAAAGCUAGGGGAGCGAACGGG